rnacentral:rRNA from 1 species
CUACGGAGGGUGCAAGCGUUAAUCGGAAUUACUGGGCGUAAAGCGUACGUAGGCGGUUAUUUAAGUCAGAUGUGAACGCCCCGGGCUUAACUUGGGAACUGCAUUUGAAACUGGGUAACUAGAGUUUAGUAGAGGGGAGUGGAAUUUCAGGUGUAGCGGUGAAAUGCGUAGAGAUCUGAAGGAACACCAGUGGCGAAGGCGACUCCCUGGACUAAAACUGACGCUGAGGUACGAAAGCGUGGGUAGCAAACAGGAUUAGAAACCCCAGUAGUCC